AACGAACGCUGGCGGCAUGCCUAACACAUGCAAGUCGAACGAGACCUUCGGGUCUAUUGGCGCACGGGUGCGUAACGCGUGGGAACCUGCCCUUAGGUUCGGAAUAACUCCCCGAAAGGGGUGCUAAUACCGGAUAAUGUCUUCGGACCAAAGAUUUAUCGCCUUUGGAUGGGCCCGCGUUGGAUUAGCUAGUUGGUAGGGUAAAAGCCUACCAAGGCGACGAUCCAUAGCUGGUCUGAGAGGAUGAUCAGCCACACUGGGACUGAGACACGGCCCAGACUCCUACGGGAGGCUGCAGUAGGGAAUAUUGGACACUGGGCGAAAGCCUGAUCCAGCCAUGCCGCGUGAGUGAUGAAGGCCUUAGGGUUGUAAAGCUCUUUUACCCGGGAUGAUAAUGACAGUACCGGGUGAAUAAGCUCCGGCUAACUACGUG
rnacentral:rRNA from 1 species